AAUAGGAGAAUGACAAAUUAGAUUUUUCCUCCUGAUAUUCAGUUUUUUCUCCUAAAAAAAUUCAAAUCCAACUAAAAAUGCUAAAAAUUAGGAGGAAAAAUCUGAUUUGUCAUUCUCCUAUU
rfam:Gossypium raimondii Chr08_contig_786, whole genome shotgun sequence.